rnacentral:rRNA from 1 species
GGCAGUCAGAGGCGAUGAAGGACGUGCUAAUCUGCGAUAAGCGUCGGUAAGGUGAUAUGAACCGUUAUAACCGGCGAUUUCCGAAUGGGGAAACCCAGUGUGAUUCGUCACACUAUCAUUAACUGAAUCCAUAGGUUAAUGAGGCGAACCGGGGGAACUGAAACAUCUAAGUACCCCGAGGAAAAGAAAUCAACCGAGAUUCCCCCAGUAGCGGCGAGCGAACGGGGAGGAGCCCAGAGCCUGAAUCAGUGUGUGUGUUAGUGGAAGCGUCUGGAAAGGCGUGCGAUACAGGGUGACAGCCCCGUACACAAAAAUGCACAUACUGUGAGCUCGAUGAGUAGGGCGGGACACGUGGUAUCCUGUCUGAAUAUGGGGGGACCAUCCUCCAAGGCUAAAUACUCCUGACUGACCGAUAGUGAACCAGUACCGUGAGGGAAAGGCGAAAAGAACCCCGGCGAGGGGAGUGAAAAAGAACCUGAAACCGUGUACGUACAAGCAGUGGGAGCCUCUUAAUGGGGUGACUGCGUACCUUUUGUAUAAUGGGUCAGCGACUUAUAUUCUGUAGCAAGGUUAACCGAAUAGGGGAGCCGAAGGGAAACCGAGUCUUAACUGGGCGUUAAGUUGCAGGGUAUAGACCCGAAACCCGGUGAUCUAGCCAUGGGCAGGUUGAAGGUUGGGUAACACUAACUGGAGGACCGAACCGACUAAUGUUGAAAAAUUAGCGGAUGACUUGUGGCUGGGGGUGAAAGGCCAAUCAAACCGGGAGAUAGCUGGUUCUCCCCGAAAGCUAUUUAGGUAGCGCCUCGUGAAUUCAUCUCCGGGGGUAGAGCACUGUUUCGGCAAGGGGGUCAUCCCGACUUACCAACCCGAUGCAAACUGCGAAUACCGGAGAAUGUUAUCACGGGAGACACACGGCGGGUGCUAACGUCCGUCGUGAAGAGGGAAACAACCCAGACCGCCAGCUAAGGUCCCAAAGUCAUGGUUAAGUGGGAAACGAUGUGGGAAGGCCCAGACAGCCAGGAUGUUGGCUUAGAAGCAGCCAUCAUUUAAAGAAAGCGUAAUAGCUCACUGGUCGAGUCGGCCUGCGCGGAAGAUGUAACGGGGCUAAACCAUGCACCGAAGCUGCGGCAGCGACACUAUGUGUUGUUGGGUAGGGGAGCGUUCUGUAAGCCUGUGAAGGUGUACUGUGAGGUAUGCUGGAGGUAUCAGAAGUGCGAAUGCUGACAUAAGUAACGAUAAAGCGGGUGAAAAGCCCGCUCGCCGGAAGACCAAGGGUUCCUGUCCAACGUUAAUCGGGGCAGGGUGAGUCGACCCCUAAGGCGAGGCCGAAAGGCGUAGUCGAUGGGAAACAGGUUAAUAUUCCUGUACUUGGUGUUACUGCGAAGGGGGGACGGAGAAGGCUAUGUUGGCCGGGCGACGGUUGUCCCGGUUUAAGCGUGUAGGCUGGUUUUCCAGGCAAAUCCGGAAAAUCAAGGCUGAGGCGUGAUGACGAGGCACUACGGUGCUGAAGCAACAAAUGCCCUGCUUCCAGGAAAAGCCUCUAAGCAUCAGGUAACAUCAAAUCGUACCCCAAACCGACACAGGUGGUCAGGUAGAGAAUACCAAGGCGCUUGAGAGAACUCGGGUGAAGGAACUAGGCAAAAUGGUGCCGUAACUUCGGGAGAAGGCACGCUGAUAUGUAGGUGAAGUCCCUCGCGGAUGGAGCUGAAAUCAGUCGAAGAUACCAGCUGGCUGCAACUGUUUAUUAAAAACACAGCACUGUGCAAACACGAAAGUGGACGUAUACGGUGUGACGCCUGCCCGGUGCCGGAAGGUUAAUUGAUGGGGUUAGCGGUAACGCGAAGCUCUUGAUCGAAGCCCCGGUAAACGGCGGCCGUAACUAUAACGGUCCUAAGGUAGCGAAAUUCCUUGUCGGGUAAGUUCCGACCUGCACGAAUGGCGUAAUGAUGGCCAGGCUGUCUCCACCCGAGACUCAGUGAAAUUGAACUCGCUGUGAAGAUGCAGUGUACCCGCGGCAAGACGGAAAGACCCCGUGAACCUUUACUAUAGCUUGACACUGAACAUUGAGCCUUGAUGUGUAGGAUAGGUGGGAGGCUUUGAAGUGUGGACGCCAGUCUGCAUGGAGCCGGCCUUGAAAUACCACCCUUUAAUGUUUGAUGUUCUAACGUUGGCCCCUGACCGGGGUUGCGGACAGUGUCUGGUGGGUAGUUUGACUGGGGCGGUCUCCUCCUAAAGAGUAACGGAGGAGCACGAAGGUUGGCUAAUCCUGGUCGGACAUCAGGAGGUUAGUGCAAUGGCAUAAGCCAGCUUGACUGCGAGCGUGACGGCGCGAGCAGGUGCGAAAGCAGGUCAUAGUGAUCCGGUGGUUCUGAAUGGAAGGGCCAUCGCUCAACGGAUAAAAGGUACUCCGGGGAUAACAGGCUGAUACCGCCCAAGAGUUCAUAUCGACGGCGGUGUUUGGCACCUCGAUGUCGGCUCAUCACAUCCUGGGGCUGAAGUAGGUCCCAAGGGUAUGGCUGUUCGCCAUUUAAAGUGGUACGCGAGCUGGGUUUAGAACGUCGUGAGACAGUUCGGUCCCUAUCUGCCGUGGGCGCUGGAGAACUGAGGGGGGCUGCUCCUAGUACGAGAGGACCGGAGUGGACGCAUCACUGGUGUUCGGGUUGUCAUGCCAAUGGCACUGCCCGGUAGCUAAAUGCGGAAGAGAUAAGUGCUGAAAGCAUCUAAGCACGAAACUUGCCCCGAGAUGAGUUCUCCCUGACUCCUUGAGAGUCCUGAAGGAACGUUGAAGACGACGACGUUGAUAGGCCGGGUGUGUAAGCGCAGCGAUGCGUUGAGCUAACCGGUACUAAUGAACCGUGAG